rnacentral:misc_RNA from 1 species
UUGUGGAGGAGGACGCCGAAGGUGGGGCUAAUGACUGGGGUGAAGUCGUAACAAGGUAGCCGUACCGGAAGGUGCGGCUGGAUCACCUCCUAACAGGGAGACAACAAAAUGUUUAAUAUUAUUAUUUUGUCACCUUAGGUCGAUCGGUAUCUCACGUUCUUAAUUUUAUUAAGAAUCUCAUUUCCUAAGUUUUUCUAGGUCACACCCAUUAUUUUCCUGGGCCAUUAGCUCAGGUGGUUAGAGCGCACCCCUGAUAAGGGUGAGGUCCCUGGUUCAAGUCCAGGAUGGCCCAUAUCUCUAUGUUGGGGGUAUAGCUCAGUUGGUAGAGCGCCUGCUUUGCAAGCAGGAUGUCAGCGGUUCGAGUCCGCUUACCUCCACUGAUUACCACCUCUUCCAUAAUCUUUAGAAAGGAAAAUUUUGAGUUGUGACACAAUUCUGAACGAAUCUAGCUUCCUAAUGAAAUCAUUAAGAUGCUGGACUCAUUGAAUUAAUUUCAUUGUUUUCAGAGAACCUUGACAACUGCAUAGAUUAUUUUUAAAGACAAUAAGCAUCUUUAAUGAUGCAGAUUUAUUAUUUGUGCGAAUGCAUUAAUAACAAUUCUAUUAAGCUGAUGCUUCAAUUAUGAAGUUAUUGGUCAAGCUACAA